CCUACGUGCGGCAGCAGUGGGGAAUAUUGGACAAUGGGCGAAAGCCUGAUCCAGCCAUGCCGCGUGUGUGAAGAAGGCCUUCGGGUUGUAAAGCACUUUCAGUGGGGAAGAAAGCCUUGGGGCUAAUACCCUCGAGGAAGGACAUCACCCACAGAAGAAGCACCGGCUAACUCCGUGCCAGCAGCCGCGGUAAUACGGAGGGUGCGAGCGUUAAUCGGAAUUACUGGGCGUAAAGCGCGCGUAGGCGGUCUGAUAAGCCGGUUGUGAAAGCCCCGGGCUCAACCUGGGAACGGCAUCCGGAACUGUCAGGCUAGAGUGCAGGAGAGGAAGGUAGAAUUCCCGGGGUAGCGGUGAAAUGCGUAGAGAUCGGGAGGAAUACCAGUGGCGAAGGCGGCCUUCUGGACUGACACUGACGCUGAGGUGCGAAAGCGUGGGUAGCAAACAGGAUUAGAUACCCGAGUAGUC
rnacentral:rRNA from 1 species